rnacentral:sRNA from 1 species
GGACCGGAAGAGUCCUUGAACCAAAAUAGGUCGGCGGGCACUUCCGGGACCGGAGCCCAGGGUUCCGGGAGGGUGUAGGCAGGAGAGGGAAAGGCAGCAGCGGCGGCAGCUGGAGGAUGAAGAAGGAGCAUGUGCUGCACUGCCAGUUCUCCGCGUGGUACCCGUUCUUCCGAGGCGUUACCAUCAAGAGUGUCAUUCUUCCACUUCCUCAGAAUGUGAAGGAUUAUUUACUCGAUGAUGGAACUCUGGUGGUUUCAGGAAGGGAUGAUCCACCAACACAUUCUCAGCCAGACAGUGAUGAUGAAGCAGAAGAAAUACAGUGGUCUGAUGAUGAGAACACAGCCACGCUUACGGCACCGGAAUUUCCUGAGUUUGCCACUAAAGUCCAGGAAGCUAUCAAUUCCCUCGGGGGCAGUGUCUUUCCGAAGCUUAAUUGGAGUGCCCCAAGGGAUGCGUAUUGGAUAGCAAUGAAUAGUUCUCUGAAAUGUAAAACCCUCAGCGACAUCUUUCUACUUUUCAAGAGUUCUGAUUUCAUCACUCGUGACUUCACUCAGCCGUUUAUUCAUUGUACUGAUGAUUCUCCAGAUCCAUGUAUAGAAUAUGAGCUCGUUCUCCGAAAAUGGUGUGAAUUGAUUCCUGGGGCUGAGUUUCGAUGUUUUGUCAAGGAAAACAAGCUUAUUGGUAUUUCUCAAAGAGACUACACACAAUACUAUGAUCAUAUUUCUAAACAAAAGGAAGAAAUUUGCAGAUGCAUACAAGACUUUUUCAAGAAACACAUACAGUACAAAUUCUUAGAUGAAGACUUUGUGUUCGAUAUAUACAGAGACAGUAGGGAUUCCCCAGCUUUCCGUUGCACAAACAGUGAAGUGACAGUCCAGCCCAGCCCCUAUUUGAGUUACCGGCUACCCAAGGACUUUGUAGACCUCUCUACUGGGGAGGACGCUCACAAGCUAAUAGAC